rnacentral:rRNA from 1 species
UAGGGAAUCUUCCACAAUGGACGAAAGUCUGAGGGAGCAAUGCCGCGUGAGUGAAGAAGGGUUUCGGCUCGUAAAACUCUGUUGUUAAAGAAGAACACCUUUGAGAGUAACUGUUCAAGGGUUGACGGUAUUUAACCAGAAAGCCACGACUAACUACGUG